UACAGAGGGUGCGAGCGUUAAUCGGAAUCACUGGGCUUAAAGGGUGCGUAGGCGGCGCAGUAAGUUGGGUGUGAAAUCCCUCGGCUUAACCGAGGAAUUGCGCCCAAAACUACUGUGCUCGAGGGAGGUAGAGGUGAGCGGAACUUAGGGUGGAGCGGUGAAAUGCGUUGAUAUCCUAAGGAACACCGGUGGCGAAAGCGGCUCACUGGACCUCUUCUGACGCUGAGGCACGAAAGCUAGGGUAGCAAACGGG
rnacentral:rRNA from 1 species